UACAGAGGGUGCAAACGUUGCUCGGAAUCAUUGGGCGUAAAGCGCACGUAGGCGGCUUGUUAAGUCGGGUGUGAAAUCCCCAGGCUCAACCUGGGAAGUGCACUCGAAACUGGCGAGCUUGAAUAUGGAAGAGGGUCGCGGAAUUCCCGGUGUAGAGGUGAAAUUCGUAGAUAUCGGGAGGAACACCAGUGGCGAAGGCGGCGACCUGGGCCAAUAUUGACGCUGAGGUGCGAAAGCGUGGGGAGCAAACAGG
rnacentral:rRNA from 1 species